UAUAAAUGUUUAUAGUUUAGAUAAUUUAUUUAAAAUUUAUUUUACAUACAAAUUUUAGUGUUAAUUUAUUUUUAUUUAAAUAAUUAAAUUAUAAUUGUAGUAAUUAAUAUUAAAUAUUUAAGAAAUUAAGAUUUAGUAAUAUUUAAAUUAAUAACAAAUUUUGUGCCAGCAGUUGCGGUUAAACAAAAAUUGAAUUAAAUUUUAUUGGUUUUUAAUUAUUAAUUUUUUUUUUUAUAAUUAAAAUUUUAAAUUAUUAGGUGAAAUUUUAAUUUAAUAAAAAAUUAUAAUAAUUUUAUGAUUUAAUAAAUUUUAUUAAAAACUAGGAUUAGAUACCCUAUUAUGAAAAAAUUAAAUUUAUAAUACUAAAAUAGUAAAUAAUUAUUUAUUGAAACUUAAAUAAUUUGGCGGUAUUUUAGUUCAUUUAGAGGAAUCUGUUUAAUAAUUGAUAAUCCACGAAUAAAUUUACUUAAUUUAUAAUUUUGUAUAUCGUUGUUAAAAAAAUAUUUUUUAAUGAAAAUAAUAUUUAAAAAUUUAAAUUUAAAAUUAAAUCAGAUCAAGAUGCAGAAAAUAAUUAAGAAUAUAAUGGAUUACAAUAAAUUUAUUUAAAUGAAUAUUAAUUUGAAAAAGUUAAUUGAAAUUGGAUUUAAAUGUAAUUUUAUUUAGUUAAAUAAAAUGAUUAAAAAUUAAAAUAUGUACAUAUUGCCCGUCGCUUUCAUAUAAUUUAAAUUGAAAUAAGUCGUAACAAAGUAGAGGUACUGGAAAGUGUUUCUAGAAAGAC
rnacentral:ncRNA from 1 species